rnacentral:rRNA from 1 species
AUACGUAGGGUGCAAGCGUUAAUCGGAAUUACUGGGCGUAAAGCGUGCGCAGGCGGUUUUGUAAGACAGAGGUGAAAUCCCCGGGCUCAACCUGGGAACUGCCUUUGUGACUGCAAGGCUAGAGUACGGCAGAGGGGGAUGGAAUUCCGCGUGUAGCAGUGAAAUGCGUAGAUAUGCGGAGGAACACCGAUGGCGAAGGCAAUCCCCUGGGCGUGUACUGACGCUCAUGCACGAAAGCGUGGGGAGCAAACAGGAUUAGAUACCCUGGUAGUCCACGCCCUAAACGAUGUCAACUGGUUGUUGGGGAUUUAUGUUCUCAGUAACGAAGCUAACGCGUGAAGUUGACCGCCUGGGGAGUACGGCCGCAAGGUUAAAACUCAAAGGAAUUGACGGGG